CCUACGAGCGGCAGCAGUUGGGAAUAUUGGACAAUGGGGGCAACCCUGAUCCAGCCAUGCCGCGUGUGUGAAGAAGGCCCGCGGGUUGUAAAGCACUUUCAGUGAGGAAGAACGCCUGGUGGUUAAUACCCAUCAGGAAAGACAUCACUCACAGAAGAAGCACCGGCUAACUCCGUGCCAGCAGCCGCGGUAAUACGGAGGGUGCGAGCGUUAAUCGGAAUUACUGGGCGUAAAGCGCGCGUAGGUGGCUUGAUAAGCCGGUUGUGAAAGCCCCGGGCUCAACCUGGGAACGGCAUCCGGAACUGUCAAGCUAGAGUGCAGGAGAGGAAGGUAGAAUUCCCGGUGUAGCGGUGAAAUGCGUAGAGAUCGGGAGGAAUACCAGUGGCGAAGGCGGCCUUCUGGACUGACACUGACACUGAGGUGCGAAAGCGUGGGUAGCAAACAGGAUUAGAUACCCUUGUAGUC
rnacentral:rRNA from 1 species